UACGAACUGUGCGAACGUUAUUCGGAAUCACUGGGCGUAAAGCGCACGUAGGCGGCUUUGUAAGUUAGAGGUGAAAGCCCGGGGCUCAACUCCGGAAUUGCCUUUAAGACUGCAUCGCUAGAAUUGUGGAGAGGUAAGUGGAAUUCCGAGUGUAGAGGUGAAAUUCGUAGAUAUUCGGAAGAACACCAGUGGCGAAGGCGACUUACUGGACACAUAUUGACGCUGAGGUGCGAAAGCGUGGGGAGCAAACAGG
rnacentral:rRNA from 1 species